CCCAAGUGUUGAAGAAAAUUGUGAAGGAAGUGUUGAAAGCUUUGAAGAAGUAAGUGGUGAAAGUUCUGAGAAGAAAGUGACUGAGGAAUUCAAGAAGCCAAUGGAAGUGCAAUGACAAGGCUCUGGAGUCUGGACUAGAAGGAACACUUUUUUCGUCGAGCCCCGGGUAACCAAUACCCAGAUUGUGCUCCGGCUAAUACAGAGUUUAGCUU